rnacentral:sRNA from 1 species
GAGUUCAAAUAGGUAGUAGCGGAGAGA